GGUGUUACAAUGUCUGUUACAGGUGUUAUAAUGUAUGUUAUAGAUGUUAUAAUGUCUGUUAUAGGUGUUAUAAUGUCUGUUAUAUAUGUUAUAAUGUCUGUUACAGGUGUUAUAGUGUCUGUUAUAGGUGUUAUAGUGUCUGUUACAGGUGUUAUAAUGUCUGUUACAGGUGUUAUAAUGUCUGUUAUAGGUGUUAUAAUGUCUGUUAUAGGUGUUUUAGUGUCUGUUACAGGUGUUAUAAUGUCUGUUAUAAUUGGUAUAAUGUCUGUUAUAUGUGUUAUAAUGUCUGUUAUAUGUGUUAUAAUGUCUGUUAUAGGUGUUAUAAUGUCUGUUAUAGGUGUUAUAAUGUAUGUUAUAAUUGGUAUAAUGUCUGUUGUAGGUGUCAUUAUGACCUGUCGUCAGUUGUACUGAGUGCUGCACUUGUGUGAUUACUUUGGUUUUGUGUUGAACCACAUACAGAGAAAGUGUUUUACUGAUAUAACCAUUAUACUCCUCCCCUGUGUGUGUAUGUCCUAUAGAAAAAAACACUGUGUACAAGUUUGAUACCUGAUUGUAAGUGUCAAUAUUUGUGGAUAAACAUACAUCAACUGUAUACGGUACUUUUCGUACAGUUCAUGGGGUAAAACAUGCAGACAUUUGUAUCAUUAUCAUAUUACGUAUAAAUCUGUAUGUCAAUGGUUUUAGCUGGUUGAUUGACGCAAUCGACAUCACAUGAGAUACGAGUCUAUUAGUCAUCAUUUGAUAUCUACCGGCUACAAUUGAUGUGUGUACAAGAAAGGAAUGUUACAAAAUCAGCCGUUUGUUUACCAUUAUGUAACCAUUUUGCAAUACAUUUUGAAUUGUUAGCAAUAAAAUAAACAAAACAGAU